UACAUAUGUCGCAAGCGUUAUCCGGAUUUAUUGGGCGUAAAGCGCGUCUAGGCGGUUUACUAAGUCUGAUGUGAAAAUGCAGGGCUCAACUCUGUAUUGCGUUGGAAACUGGUAGACUAGAGUAUUGGAGAGGUGGGCGGAACUACAAGUGUAGAGGUGGAAUUCGUAGAUAUUUGUAGGAAUGCCGAUGGAGAAGUCAGCUCACUGGACAUAUACUGACGCUAAAGCGCGAAAGCGUGGGGAGCAAACAGG
rnacentral:rRNA from 1 species